rnacentral:tRNA from 1 species
AGAAAGGUAAGCUAAAUUUAAAGCUCAUAGGUUCAUACCCUAUUUAUGGUUACUCCUCUUUCUA